rnacentral:rRNA from 1 species
CCUACGGGGGGCUGCAAUUAGGAAUCUUGCGCAAUGGGCGAAAGCCUGACGCAGCGACGCCGCGUGACUGAUGAAGUCUUUCGGGAUGUAAAGGUCUUUUCUGAAGGAAGAACACAAUGACGGUACUUCAGGAAUAAGCUCCGGCUAACUACGUGCCAGCAGCCGCGGUAAUACGUAGGGAGCAAGCGUUGUCCGAAUUCACUGGGCGUAAAGCGCGCGUAGGCGGACUAUUAAGUUGAUGGUGAAAUCCCGGGGCUCAACCUCGGAACUGCCUUCAAAACUGAUAGUCUUGAGGUUUGGAGAGGGAAUUGGAAUUCCAGGUGUAGCGGUGAAAUGCGUAGAUAUCUGGAGGAACACCCAUGGCGAAGGCAGAUUCCUGGCCAUAUCCUGACGCUGAGGUGCGAAAGCUAGGGUAGCGAACG